rnacentral:rRNA from 1 species
ACGGAAUAGAUACCCGGGUAGUCCACGCUGUAAACGAUGAGUGCUAGAUGCCGGAUUUUUUCGGUGUCGCAGCUAAACGCAUUAAGCACUCCACCUGGGAAGUACGAUCGCAAGGUUGAAACUCAAAGGAAUUGACGGGGGCCCGGCACAAGCAGUGGAGCAUGUGGUUUAAUUCGAUGCAACGCGAAGAACCUUACCUAGGCUUGAAAAGCUUAUGACCGGCUGUGAAAGCAGCUUUCCCGCAAGGGCAUAAGUACAGGUGCUGCAUGGCUGUCGUCAGCUCGUGCCGUGAGGUGUUGGGUUAAAGUCCCGCAACGAGCGCAACCCUUACCAUUAGUUGCCACCGGAGCAAUCCGAGCACUCUAAUGGAACUGCCUACGCAAGUAGUGAGGAAGGUGAGGAUGACGUCAAGUCCGCAUGGCCCUUACGCCUAGGGCUACACACGUGCUACAAUGGCCGCCACAACGGGCAGCAAAAAUCGCGAGAUGGAGCGAAUCCCUAAAAAGCGGCCUCAGUUCGGAUUGGA